AAAAUACUUCCUCCGUCCAACAAAAGAUGUCUCAAGUUUGUCGAAAUUUGGAUGUAUUUAAAUAUGACUUAGUGUAUAGAUGCAUUCAAAUUUAGUCAAAAUUAAGACAUCCUUUGUUGGAGAGAGAGAGUACGAU
rnacentral:pre_miRNA from 1 species